GGUCGAAGAGCAGGUAAAGGUACUUGAUGGUUUCAGCGAGGAAGAAAGACUCCAUCCUGUUGUCCAGCUGGUGAUCUCGCAGGUCUUUAACCUACAGGGGGAGAGACAGCAUCAGGAGUACGUGAUUUAAAGGCCGGGCCAGAAGGCCUCCAGAGACUGGAACACAGGCAUGGAGACGGUUCCUUUAUGCAUCUGCACCCACAGGACGUAGGUGUGGCUGCCUGGCUCAGAGGCACCUGAGGGAAGAGGAGAGUGUUACCCAGGAACAUGCUGAGCAGCUCCUCAUCCUGCAGCAUGAUGGCUCCUUUCACCAGAUACUCAAAGUAGGAGUCCACCCCUGCUCCGAUGCCGGCGUCCUGAGCCACCCAUUUCUUGGACACAAUGUCAAUGUGGUUCCCCACCUGGACAGGAAGACAGACAGAUCUGGUUUUCCACAGGGCCCUCAGAGCUCGGCGGGCUGUGUUCUCAAACGUUGCAUCUCCGGUUAGUCGGCUCAGCGUGGCAAACUCCAGGAUGAAGGUUCCCACGCCAGCGGUGC